CUUGUGAUCGGUACGUAAGAAAGUCAUGGAAACAGCGAGUAGGCAGCUAUUAAACGAGAAGAAAGGAUAAAUUAAAUAAUAGGCAGGCCACGAACGGUACGCUUCGAUUCGUCAGUCGUAAAUUAAUCCAGAUACCUCAAAUUUUGUCAUCUUCCUACACGGAUCGACUCAAUUGCACAUUAGGAACAUGCACAUGUACAUUCCGCGAUGAUUAAUUAGGAUCGCCGCUGGUGGAAUUUCUGAUAACAUUAUUAUCAAUAAUGAUAAAGCGAUUCUUAGAGCUAUUGAGUAUCGAAUUCGAUAUUCCUAGGGCGACGAAAGAGGUCGGAAUCGGAGAUGCCUGGUUGGAAGAAUAACGUCGGAGCUCGUUGACAUUGGCGACGAUAAAAUUCCACGCUGAAGACUUUUUUCGUAGAAUAUGUGCGU